CAUAACAGCACCAUAUCUGCAGGAGAGCAGGUCUGAUCACACUUCUGAGGACACCUUUGAAGAGGCAGAAACAAGGAAGGAGCUGGAUCCGUUAUGUCAGCAGACGCAAGAGGAGAGGAAAAAAGAUGGGGCAGAGCAAAGGGUGGAUCAAACAAAGGUACCAGAAGGCAGAAGGCAAAAACUGGCGAUGACGUGAGGGGAGCCGCGGUGGUAUCGAGCGGCGGACUCCAAUGCAGAAUGCGAACUGUGCUGGGAUGUGAUGGGCCCAGUGGAGGGACGAGACUGGGAUAGGAGGCUCCUCAUCUGCCUGGCACGAGGCUGGCGUGGACCCCGCUCCGCAAGAGGAAUUUCUGUCCAGCUCAAGAACACACAGGGGAUAUUCGUCCUGGGUUGUGGGACUGGGUGGGAUUUUUGUGCAUGAAGAGAAUUGUAUUUUUACCAGUUUUAGAACAAUUUCAUCUGGUCUCGGUGGGAAUUUUAGCAUAUUGAGAAUAUUUUAUUGUAUACUUUUUUCUUAGUAUCUGGUUUGUUUUAUUCCUGCUGUCCACCUCGUGGAAUAAACAGUUUCUGAUCAGACAAUCACUUCUGUGUUAUAAUGUUAACGGAAGUUUAUCAGGUCAGAUGGCCAAUGGAUGAUAAGAAAUAUACUCUUAGCAAUUAUUAGAGUUGAAAAGUAGUUUGCUAAGCAACAAGUACUAAAUCGGGUUAGGUUGAGGCUUAAUCCUUCACCUUAACUGGCUCAGAUGGUCUCUAAAUGGAUGAAUGAAACAAUACUUAACUUCCAAAAACAAUAUUUUAGUCAGGGCUAGCGGAAAGUUUCAUAAAUAUCAUUAAUAUGUAUCUUCUCUGUCUUCCUAUAGUUUCGUUUCAUUUUCUUACCCCACCCCCAACCGGUCGAGGCAGAUGGCCGCCCCCUGAGCCUGGUUCUGCCGAAAAUGGAGUUCUUCCUUCCCACUGUUGCCAAAUGCUUCGUCAUAGGGGAUCAUUUGAUUGUUGGGCCUUUCUCUGUAUUAUUGCACAACCUUUAUCUUACCAUGUAUUGCAAGUUUAUAUGUUGUGAAUUGUCUUAAUUUAAAUCAAAUUGAACUGCAUUCAAUUAAAACUAAAUAUAACUUGUAAUCAAAUGUGAAGUCUUCUCACUCAAUUUGGACAACUAGCACUGAAAAAUACAC
ensembl:lncRNA